AAAAAUUCUAGACCUAAUAAUAAUAUUCUCUCUUCCCACUUUUGCCGAUUAAUUCACAAAUUCAAAGCUUUCUUCGGAAAUCCUUUGGAGAUCUUCUCUUUCUAUUUGCAUCGUCGAUCAAUUAAACUGGUUCGGUUGAAGAAGCAUUAAUUCAUCUAAGGAGGUCUCUCAUAUCACCAAUUUUGGUAGGAAUCCAUGAACUAAUGGAGUCUAAAGGUGGGAAGAAGAAGUCUAGUAGUAGUUCCUUAUGUUACGAAGCUCCCCUAGGUUACACUAUUGAAGACGUUCGACCAAACGGU
rnacentral:misc_RNA from 1 species